rnacentral:misc_RNA from 1 species
GUAUCUGGUUCACCUUCACUACCUGCACAAAAACACUCAAUUACAGUUUGCUUGAAGCCAUAAAGCUUACGAUCAAGAGUCCAUGGUGAUAAGAUGACUGAAGUUAAACAGUAGAUACAAGAUUAAUUAAGGAAAUGCAACGACAGAAUAUAGUCAAUAUAUCAUUUAGAGAGGCAGACAUGAAAACCAAAUGAAGCUGCAGCUUAUCAAAGAGAAUCUCAAACACACACUUAUCUUAGGCUGCACAUCAUUCUCAUAUAGUGACGGUGAGCCUCAGUGACAUCCAUAAUCACCUACAGUCUAGGCAUUCACAUGCAGAAAUAGCAUUAUUGGAAAAACAAGUGCCUGAAGGCUACAAUAUAUUGCCUUCACAAUAACCUAGAGGUCAUGGAUUCAAAUUACAGGAACAGCCUCCUUCAAAGUACAAGAGGAGGAACCGGAUUCCA